GAGGGCCUGGACACUAAGGGAAGGGUUUUGGGCGUCGUAGCGUUUGGUCGGGCAGAGCCUGGGCCUCUUCUCGGUGGGGGAGGGCAGGGGAUAUUUAUGGGGCGGAAGGGAUGGAAGAAGAGGUUGUGUGUGUAUGGUUGUCUCGUUGUUGGUUGUUUCUUGUCUCAUGGUAUUGUUGAUCGGCAUCGGUGUGUCUCUCUAGCUGCCUUCUCGGAAUCGAAAUCGGUAGCGGAUCGUGUCGUGUGGUGGCGUGGUGGUGGUCGUGGAUGUAUUCGUGCGUACCGCGCGACCCGGUAGCGGUAGGUGCCUCCGCGCCCGCACCUGGGGUUGGACGGCCUCGUGGCGGUCCUCCUCCGGUUCGCGCACGACCGGGCCACGGACGUCCAGCCGCAGCUGGACGAGGCCCGACCACGCUGCCGCGACCUGCAGCACCUCCGGCACCACGCCCUCGACCUCUGCCUGGGGACGAAGUUGAGCCCGGCGCCGAGGCGCGAGUGUGCGCGGCCGUGGCAGCUCUACCUCCGGUCGUAGUACCUGCCGGCGCCGGCGGCGACGCCGCGGCAGAGGCCACACAGGUGGCAAUUUUUGGGGCACAGGGACCGGGCCGCGCAGUACCUGUUCAGGGGUGUGAGGAUGGAGCGGAAGCUGCCGCGGCUCCUAAAGCGCGCGCUCGUCCCGGACCUCCAACACCUAUUGUCGAUGAAGUAGUGCCUCCUCUUGCACCCGUACGAGUUCGAGCGGUUCCUCCGGUUGUCGUAGGAGAAGCUGAUGGCGUAGGGCGACCGCCCGUGGCUGUGAACGUCGCGCGUCCGUCGCCGCCACCUCCCGGUGCCGUCGUUGCCGUACCACUACUUGCCCGACGGGUAGUCGUAGAUGCGCGUCCUCUGCCAGCCCACGCGCCACCACCUGAGAUUGCCGAAGUGCCGUCGCCGGUGGAGCUGGCCGCCCGAGUACUUGUUCUACUGCCCGGCGUAGCCGCUGAGCGGGGAGUAGCCGCGGCCGUGGAUGCGCACGCCCGUGACGCGACACAGCACGUGGCCGCUCCCGCUCCGGUAGUAGGCGAGGUGCGACCGCGCCCUGCACCGCCGGCAGUACCUCAUGUUCCCGGAGGGCGACGUCCUCCGGCACCUGAAGACGCAGUUCCUCGCCGACCUGCUCCCCAAGCGCCCCGAGUAGCGGCACAGGCCGUGGCCGCUCCACCGCAUGCCCAAGUUGACGUGGCCGUACAAGUCCCCGACGCGGUGGCUCCUGCCGAAGUACCUCCAGCCGUAGACCCUCACUUCGCGCACGCGACCGGUCUUGAGACUUCUAUCACACGCACGCAAGCACACAGACGUAAACCCGUAGGACGUUAACGGUACACCAAGGUCAGACCCUAGGACUAAAUCAUCGUCAUCAUCACCUAGCCCCUAACCUCUAACCCUCCUUAUUAAUACUACUACUGCUAACACUACCGGCACCUUUUAUUAUUACACUUUUCAAGAUACCGAAGACUUUAAUGGACGGAACCAGUCAAGAGUGAGCAAGACUUUUGAAGAAGUCAGAUUCUUGAACACAAUGCGCGUCAGACCUCGCCACCGAACUUUGACUC
rnacentral:rRNA from 1 species